rnacentral:sRNA from 1 species
UUCCAAGGUCCGUCCUGGAAGCUCAAACCCACACACGUGUCGACACGAUGACCUGGGUGCCCUUGGCUCAUGCCGCUGGUUGGUCAUUGGGAUACGUGGAGGCCUAACC